AGUCGAGGGGCAUCGGGAGGGAAGCUUGCUUUCCUUGCCGGCGACCGGCGCUCGGGUGAGUAACACGUAUGCAACCUGCCCUCUUCAGGGGGACAACCUUCCGAAAGGGAGGCUAAUCCCGCGUAUAUCGGUUUCGGGCAUCCGUUAUCGAGGAAAGAUUCAUCGGAAGAGGAUGGGCAUGCGGCGCAUUAGCUUGACGGCGGGGUAACGGCCCACCGUGGCGACGAUGCGUAGGGGUUCUGAGAGGAAGGUCCCCCACACUGGUACUGAGACACGGACCAGACUCCUACGGGAGGCAGCAGUGAGGAAUAUUGGUCAAUGGGAGAGAUCCUGAACCAGCCAAGCCGCGUGAGGGAAGACGGCCCUAUGGGUUGUAAACCUCUUUUGUCGGAGAACAAAACCCGGGACGUGUCCCGGACUGCGUGUAUCCGAAGAAAAAGCAUCGGCUAACUCCGUGCCAGCAGCCGCGGUAAUACGGAGGAUGCGAGCGUUAUCCGGAUUUAUUGGGUUUAAAGGGUGCGUAGGCGGUCCGUUAAGUCAGCGGUAAAAUUGCGGGGCUCAACCCCGUCGAGCCGUUGAAACUGGCAGACUUGAGUUGGCGAGAAGUACGCGGAAUGCGCGGUGUAGCGGUGAAAUGCAUAGAUAUCACGAAGAACUCCGAUUGCGAAGGCAGCUUACCAGUCUGCGACUGACGCUCAGGCACGAAAGUGUGGGUAUCGAACAGGAUUAGAUACCCUGGUAGUCCACACAGUAAACGAUGAGCGCUAGGUGUCCGGGUCGCAUGAGACUUGGGUGCCCGAGCGAAAGC
rnacentral:rRNA from 1 species